rnacentral:rRNA from 1 species
CCCCUAGAUGUUCUGGGCCGCACGCGCGCUACACUGACGAAUGCAACGAGCUUAUAACCUUGGCCGAAAGGUCUGGGUAAUCUCCAAAUUUCGUCGUGAUGGGGAUAGAUUAUUGCAAUUAUUAAUCUUCAACGAGGAAUGCCUAGUAAGCGCAAGUCAUCAGCUUGCGUUGAUUACGUCCCUGCCCUUUGUACACACCGCCCGUCGCUCCUACCGAUUGAAUGGUCCGGUGAAGCGUUCGGACCGUGGCCUUUGGACGGUUCGCCGUCUGUUGGCUGCGGGAAGUUCGUUAAACCUUNUNAUUUAUNGGAAGGAGAANUCGUANCA